AUACUUCCUUGACAAGGGAGAUACCUUGAUCACAAAGGUGGUUUUCCCAGCGUGAGGCUGAUCCAUGGCUCUUGGGAUGUGCCGACUCCUGUGAUUUCCUCAAAUAUGGGAAACUUGGCUUGAUUUGUGGUAGUGGGGGAGUGUGUUUACACUCUCCCUUA